rnacentral:rRNA from 1 species
UACAGAGGUCUCAAGCGUUGUCCGGAAUCAUUGGGCGUAAAGAGCGUGUAGGCGGCCUGAUAAGUCGGCUGUGAAAGUCAAGGGCUCAACCCUUGAAUGCCGGCCGAUACUGUCAGGCUAGAGUCCGGAAGAGGCGAGUGGAAUUCCUGGUGUAGCGGUGGAAUGCGCAGAUAUCAGGAGGAACACCAAUAGCGAAGGCAGCUCGCUGGGACGGUACUGACGCUAAGGCGCGAAAGCGUGGGGAGCGAACAGG